AUUGAACGCUGGCGGCAGGCCUAACACAUGCAAGUCGAGCGGAGCGGCGGAAGGGUGAGUAAUGCCUAGGAAUCUACCUGGUAGUGGGGGAUCACGUCCGGAAACGGGCGCUAAUACCGCAUACUAUCAGAUGAGCCUAGGUCGGAUUAGCUAGUGGGUGGGGUAAAGGCCUAACAAGGUGACGUUCCGUAACUGGUCUGCGAGGAUGAUCAGUCACACUGGAACAGAGACAGGGUCCAGACUCCUACGGUGGGAAGCAGUGGGGAAUAUUGGACAAGGGGCGAAAGCCUGAUCCAGCCAUGCCGAGUGUGUUAAGAAGGUCUUCGGAUGGGAAAGCACUUUAAGUUGGGAGGCGUUACCAACAGAAUAAGCACCGGCUAACUUCGUGCCAGCAGCCGCGGUAAUAC
rnacentral:rRNA from 1 species